UGUUCAUUGGUUGCGUCAGUCACGCCCAUGUGCGAGGGGAUUUGCUGCCCAAUCUCCGCAUGACCCGACCGCGUCUCCUCUCACGUUGUGGAAGUCCCCAGGCCCCCAGCCCCCACGGGACAAACCCUAGCCUCACCAAGCCCCACAGCACGUAGUCCUCCCUCCUCCUCCAUCCUCGUUAGCAGCCGCCGCCAUUCUGCCUCCCUCCUCUCUGUCCUACGACCAUGCUGCCGGGAGGAAGCUAUUGUUCGUGGUGCCAUACCGCAGCCGGGGUGCUGCACAAGAGGCCAGGGGCCGCCGCCACCGCGAGCCAUGGGACGCCCGUCGAUGAGCCUUCGGGCAGGAAGCCCGCAUCGAGCACGCCAUCAACAAGCCGCCAGGACGACCUACUGGCCGGUCCCGCGUCGUCGAGCAAGGGCCCUGGUUGCACCGUCGUGGAGGAGGCGCACCAUUAAGGAGUAGCAAUGCCGUCGAACUCCCUCUUCCCUUCUGUCUGCACCUUCCCUAUGAGCUUUUCUUCCAUUCCCUUGCUUUGCCUCUCCUCCUGCUCACUCUCCCUUCCGUGCUCCUCAGCUUUCUUUCGAUUUGCUUGUGCCUGCAGGUCCAUGGACAUUGUUAGAAUGGUUAAUUUAUUCCAGUGUAUUAUUUUCAGAGAUCAUGUUUGUUUAAGACUCCAUGGCAAUUCUCAAGAAUUUCUGUUUUUAGUUGCUUGGCUAAUGUGUUAAAGUGCAUAUGCUCGAGUUUGGUCACUUUUGAUGAUUUUUUCAGUAUGCUAUAAUUUGUUCACUUUUGAGAUUCAAUUAUAUUAGCAUAGUCUUCUCCCGGAGCAGCAAAAUGGAGGACAAAAAUGUCAGCUCUGAUGUGCGUCAGGCUCAACGAUGCCUGCCUCCUUGCCCCUCCCUAAACGACAUGGUCCUCUUCAGUUUGCAGGUUGCCACUUCCUCUGUUCUCAUUGAUUUUCUUCGAACGGUGUACUGAUCCACACUGAAUGUGUAUGAAAAUGUUUUUGCUGGGGCAUUUGUGCACCAAGCAAAUGGGUAAGGAAAUUGGAGAACUGGGAUCUAACAUUGUUAGUCAAGUGUCUAGGUGAACAAUUUGUGGCCAGCAUGGAAAAGACAUCUCGUGAAAAUCUAGGUAUGAGAUGUCUUUUUGCAUCCAGUGUUCUUGCAUAUUAGUAUGUUGUGGUGUUGUGAAAAAAACAUAUGUCAGUCCUGGAGUACAAAUAAGUUUACAUUUGCUUUUAUUUUGGUCAUUUUGUUUAUGUGUUUUGUUCAAUGCAAUUGCUUCUAUACAUAUCAAGAGUUAGGCUUAGGCUCCACUGGAUAAAAGUUUUGGCUCUUGUUUCUCAAGUUCUAUAGACGUUAGAGGAGUAAUUAGCAUUCUCUUUCUUCCGAAUGGGUGUAUGUGGAUGCAUACAGAUAGUAGAGGAGCAAUUUCCAUCCUCUAUUUUUUUACCGACCAUAUGUGGAUGUGCAUAAAUUGUUCUUUGUUUUUUAACGAGUAAAUGUUGAUGCACAUAAAAUUGAUAUGGUGGGUUCCAUUCUGUUUUAUAUGCAUGCCAAUUCAUUAGCUAAUUAAUUCAGCUCCAUUGAAGUAAUUAUAGUUGUAGCUCAUUCUUAUCAUUGUUAAGAGGUAAAUGGAAUGAAUCAUCAUACAACAGCCACUUGAAUAAAUCUGUUUAAAUGCUUUGUUUCUCUCUCAAACCGUUUGCCUUAUCUGAAUUACCAUUGAACCAUGGUAUUGUUUUAUUAAUGUACCAGUAGAAGCGUCACUCUAGAAACUCCUCCAACAUGCUGAGAAGAGUUGGUUCUCAUCUCAAAGACGCUGAAAUCAAAAUUGUGGAGGUUCAGAAGGUAAAGCAAUCACCAUUACCCAGGGAGGGAUGCCGCAUCAAUCAGAUGCUAACCUUCUUCACAAACUCAUCACCGAAACUGUAGAUUGAUCAGGUUCACCUGCUCUACAUAGGUUACAAACAGUAUGGUAUCUUUUCUGCUAUGGGUGCUUUGACAAAUAAAAUGCAAUGUCGCUUUUGAUGUUGAGAGAAUAUCCAAUUGAGCAUCUUUCCGCAAUAAAAAUUAGACAGGAAGGGUAUGAGGGAGGGGUGUAUUAAAUCCGUAUGAGUGGAUGUUAAAUCCAUGGAUGAAGAAACAAAUAGAAAGGAAGUAAAUCAUAGGAAGAAGAGAUAGGUAGGUUUUACAAGUACAAGUGAAGGCCAGUUGGCUGGAGCAAAACCAAUAUGUUGCUUCACCGAGCUACUGAGAAAGGAGAAGAAAAAAGAGAAAGCUGACUCAUUAUGUAUUCAGGCCUCUUGACAUUCUCCUCUAAUUGGGCCUAAUCCUGUUAAGCCUUCAUGAGCCAAGUAUGGUGGAUUCUUAGAUGACAACUUGAUAUGUAGUUCUCCUAUUACAGUGCUUCGAUCAGUUAAUACUCCCUCUGUUGUGAAGUUUAUGUGAAGUGUGUUCGUGCCAUUAAAGAAUUUAUUAUUUCUAUGAA